UACGGAGGGAGCUAGCGUUGUUCGGAAUUACUGGGCGUAAAGCGUACGUAGGCGGUUAUUCAAGUCAGAGGUGAAAGCCCGGGGCUCAACCCCGGAACGGCCUUUGAAACUAGGUAGCUAGAAUCUUGGAGAGGUCAGUGGAAUUCCGAGUGUAGAGGUGAAAUUCGUAGAUAUUCGGAAGAACACCAGUGGCGAAGGCGACUGACUGGACAAGUAUUGACGCUGAGGUACGAAAGCGUGGGGAGCAAACAGG
rnacentral:rRNA from 2 species